rnacentral:rRNA from 1 species
AGAGUUUGAUCAUGGCUCAGAACGAACGCUGGCGGCAGGCCUAACACAUGCAAGUCGAACGAGAAGCCACCUUCGGGUGGUGGACAGUGGCAGACGGGUGAGUAACGCGUGGGAACGUGCCUUUCGGUUCGGGAUAACCCAGGGAAACUUGGGCUAAUACCGGAUACGCCCUUCGGGGGAAAGAUUCAUUGCCGAAAGAUCGGCCCGCGUCGGAUUAGCUAGUUGGUGGGGUAAUGGCCUACCAAGGCGACGAUCCGUAGCUGGUCUGAGAGGAUGACCAGCCACACUGGGACUGAGACACGGCCCAGACUCCUACGGGAGGCAGCAGUGGGGAAUAUUGGACAAUGGGCGCAAGCCUGAUCCAGCCAUGCCGCGUGGGUGAAGAAGGCCUUAGGGUUGUAAACCCCUUUCAGCGGGGAAGAUAAUGACGGUACCCGCAGAAGAAGUCCCGGCUAACUCCGUGCCAGCAGCCGCGGUA